rnacentral:rRNA from 1 species
UACGUAGGGUGCAAGCGUUGUCCGGAAUUAUUGGGCGUAAAGAGCUCGUAGGCGGUUCGUCGCGUCGGCUGUGAAAACCCGGAGCUCAACUCCGGGCCUGCAGUCGAUACGGGCGGACUUGAGUGUUGCAGGGGAGACUGGAAUUCCUGGUGUAGCGGUGAAAUGCGCAGAUAUCAGGAGGAACACCGGUGGCGAAGGCGGGUCUCUGGGCAACUACUGACGCUGAGGAGCGAAAGCGUGGGGAGCGAAUGGG